rnacentral:rRNA from 1 species
AUUGAACGCUGGCGGCAGGCCUAACACAUGCAAGUCGAACGGUAACAGGAAGAAGCUUGCUUCUUUGCUGACGAGUGGCGGACGGGUGAGUAAUGUCUGGGAAACUGCCUGAUAGAGGGGGAUAACUACUGGAAACGGUAGCUAAUACCGCAUAACGUCGCAAGACCAAAAAGGGGGACCUUCGGGCCUCUUGCCAUCGGAUGUGCCCAGAUGGGAUUAGCUAGUAGGUGGGGUAACGGCUCACCUAGGCGACGAUCCCUAGCUGGUCUGAGAGGAUGACCAGCCACACUGGAACUGAGACACGGUCCAGACUCCUACGGGAGGCAGCAGUGGGGAAUAUUGCACAAUGGGCGCAAGCCUGAUGCAGCCAUGCCGCGUGUAUGAAGAAGGCCUUCGGGUUGUAAAGUACUUUCAGCGGGGAGGAAGGGAGUAAAGUUAAUACCUUUGCUCAUUGACGUUACCCGCAGAAGAAGCACCGGCUAACUCCGUG